UGCUUGAAUCAAGUCUCGCAGAUGAGUU
rnacentral:sRNA from 1 species